rnacentral:rRNA from 1 species
UACCAGCACCCCGAGUGGUCGGGACGAUUAUUGGGCCUAAAGCAUCCGUAGCCGGUCCUACAAGUCUUCCGUUAAAUCCACCUGCUUAACAGAUGGGCUGCGGAAGAUACUAUAGGGCUAGGAGGCGGGAGAGGCAAGCGGUACUCAGUGGGUAGGGGUGAAAUUCGUAGAUAUUCGCAAGAACACCAGUGGCGAAGGCGGCUCACUGGCCCGGUACUGACGCUGAGGCACGAAAGCGUGGGGAGCAAACAGG